AGACAUGGCAAAAGAAGAAGUGGAAGAAGGAGGAAUCAAGAGGCAAGAAACAAGGAUGGGGAUGCCUUUCAGGAUAGCUUGGCUUGAGGGAAGCAACAAGGCUGAUGCCCUGGACAGAAGGAUUCACAGAAUGGAGAAAGAUCUAGAAAUCUUUUUUGCUAACAGAAGCCAUCAACACAAAUGUGACACCCGAGAACAGCUUACAACUGAUCUGAAGAUCAAAUGAGUUAGCUUUUGCAAAGCACAAAGCAGAUAAGGAAACGGAGGAAAAGAGAUGUUAAGAUCAACGUGUCCUCAGGCUGGCCCAGUGGCACAGCAGAUGCUCCUAUCAAGGGAUGGAAUCUAUAUCUCCACCCCGUGAAUCUUGGCUGGGUUCUGACUUGCAUUGGCCAAGAGAAUGUAGCUCAAGCAUUAUUGGGUCAGCUAAAGGUCAGCUAAUCUAGGCUGAGUGACUGACUGAAGUUGCAGGACCUGCUGCACUGGGUUCCUGGCUGCAGCUUGGCCUCGGAUCUACUCUGCAGGUGGUCAUUCUGGAGCAGAGACUGAUGGAGGAGCAGUUGCUCUGGAGAAGCUCUUCUCACAGCAGUGGCAGAGGUGGAAGAUAGCAAACCCAACUGCACAAACACAGUCCAAGCUAUUGCCUGUAUCACAACCACUAACAUCCCAUUGUCCAAGGGACAUCCCAUGGCCAAGCCCCACAUUGAUAGAGAGGAGAAGUAUAUUCCAUACACAGGGGGGAGAGAGGAG
rnacentral:lncRNA from 1 species